AAUGAACGCUGGCGGCGCGCCUAAUACAUGCAAGUCGAGCGAGAAGACGUAGCAAUACGUUUGUAAAGCGGCGAACGGGUGAGGAAUACAUGGGUAACCUACCCUCGAGUGGGGAAUAACUAGCCGAAAGGUUAGCUAAUACCGCGUACGCUUCUUGGACUUCGGUUCAGGGAGGAAAGCGAUGCCGAGGGUAUCGCGCUCUUGGAUGGGCUCAUGUCCUAUCAGCUUGNGGUGAGGUAACGGCUCACCAAGGCUUCGACGGGUAGCUGGUCUGAGAGGACGAUCAGCCACACUGGCACUGCGACACGGGCCAGACUCCUACGGGAGGCAGCAGUAAGGAAUAUUGCGCAAUGGGCGAAAAGCCUGACGCAGCGACGCCGCGUGGGGGA
rnacentral:rRNA from 1 species